rnacentral:rRNA from 1 species
AUUGAACGCUGGCGGCAGUCAUCACACAUGCAAGUCGAACGAGUUCCGGCCGGGUGAGUACUGUCUGGGAAUCUGCCUGAUGGAGGGGGAUAACUACUGGAAACGGUAGCUAACACCCUCUACCAUCGGCUGUGCCCAGAUGGGAUUAGCUUGUGGGUGGGGUAACGGCUCCCCUAGGCGACGAUCCCUUGCGGGUCUGAGAGGAGGACCAGCCACACUGGAACUGAGAAACGGUCCAGACGACUACGGGAGGCAGACGUGGGGAAUAUAGCACAAGGGGCGCAAGCCGGAUGAAGCCAUGCCGCGUGUGUGAAGAAGGCCUUCGGGGUGUAAAGCACUUUCAGCGAGGAGGCGGUAAAAGCAGAAGAAGCACCGGAUAACUCCGUGCCAGAAGCCGCGGUAAUAC